rnacentral:rRNA from 1 species
GACGAACGCGGCGGCGUGCCUAAUACAUGCAAGUAGAACGCUGAAGGAGGAGCUUGCUUCUCAGGAUGAGUUGCGAACGGGUGAGUAACGCGUAGGUAACCUGCCUGGUAGCGGGGGAUAACUAUUGGAAACGAUAGCUAAUACCGCAUAAGAGUAGAUGUUGCAUGACAUUUACUUAAAAGGUGCAAUUGCAUCACUACCAGGUGGACCUGCGUUGUAUUAGCUAGUUGGUGGGGUAACGGCUCACCAAGGCGACGAUACAUAGCCGACCUGAGAGGGUGAUCGGCCACACUGGGACUGAGACACGGCCCAGACUCCUACGGGAGGCAGCAGUAGGGAAUCUUCGGCAAUGGACGGAAGUCUGACCAAGCAACGCCGCGUGAGUGAAGAAGGUUUUCGGAUCGUAAAGCUCUGUUGUAAGAGAAGAACGAGUGUGAGAGUGGAAAGUUCACACUGUGACGGUAUCUUACCAGAAAGGGACGGCUAACUACGUGCCAGCAGCCGCGGUAAUACGUAGGUCCCGAGCGUUGUCCGGAUUUAUUGGGCGUAAAGCGAGCGCAGGCGGUUAGAUAAGUCUGAAGUUAAAGGCUGUGGCUUAACCAUAGUACGCUUUGGAAACUGUUUAACUUGAGUGCAAGAGGGGAGAGUGGAAUUCCAUGUGUAGCGGUGAAAUGCGUAGAUAUAUGGAGGAACACCGGUGGCGAAAGCGGCUCUCUGGCUUGUAACUGACGCUGAGGCUCGAAAGCGUGGGGAGCAAACAGG